AGAAGAUCCAGUUCAAUUGCUGCAGAACAUUAAGAUGGCAUCGAAUUUCUUUGUUGAUUCUUCUACAGAAAGCCUUAAAAUAUCAGCCAAAGGUAUGUGUUUAUCCACGGUGGCAAGAAGAGCAGUAUGGUUGAGAAGCUGGUCGGUGGAUUCCGCUUCCAAAUAUUCCCUAUGUGAUAAUCCGUUUGAACUAGGUAGACUUUUUGGUUCCAAACUAGAUGAGCUCUUGAAGCAAAUGACGGAUGGCAAAAAAGCUGUGCCAGCAGAA